rfam:Clostridiales bacterium CHKCI006 isolate CHKC6 genome assembly, contig: {contig12}
GCGCUGGUAGCUCAAUAGGAUAGAGCGUUUGACUACGGAUCAAAAGGUUGUGGGUUCGAUUCCUGUCCAGCGCG